rnacentral:rRNA from 1 species
GACAGAGGUGCCGAGCGUUAGGCGGAAUCACUGGGCUUAAAGCGUGUGUAGGCGGACUUCUAAGUACCUUGUGAAAUCCCACGGCUUAACCGUGGAACUGCUUGGUAUACUGGUUGUCUUGGGCCAUCUAGGGGCUAGCGGAACAAACGGUGGAGCGGUGAAAUGCGUAGAUAUCGUUUGGAACGCCAAUGGUGAAAACAGCUAGCUGGGGAUGUGCCGACGCUGAGACACGAAAGCCAGGGGAGCAAACGGG